rnacentral:lncRNA from 1 species
GUUAAUGGCAGGAGGCUGUGUUUGAUUUCUGCUUUAUGGGACAGCCAGGAAGAGAUAACGGUUUUGGCUAGCUGAGCUGAUUGCCCCUCAUCCUUACCAUGCACAGCUUUAUUCCUUCUUUACUAUAGCAUUGCAGUUAUAUCUCCCCUUUAACACACUGGCUGGAUAAUUAUAAAAUGAUUUUACUGUUUCUAAAACUACAGCCAUACCCAUCAAGCAUGACAACAGAAACCAGUGGUAGGACUCUGCCAGACAAGGGUGAAGAGGCCUGUGGAUAUUUCUUGAACCCUUCCUUAAUGUCACCAGAAUGUUUGCCAACAACCACGAAAAAGAAAACAGAAGACAUGAGUGACCUCCCCUGUGAAAGUCAAAGGAGCAUACCUCUCGCUGUGACUGAUGCUUUAGAGCAUAUUAUGGAACAACUCAAUGUUUUGACACAGACUGUUUCAAUCUUGGAGCAGCGACUGACUUUGACAGAGGAUAAGCUGAAAGACUGCCUUGAAAAUCAGCAAAAGCUUUUCAGUGCUGUCCAACAGAAAAGCUGAAUAAAAAAUUCAUUUUCAUUUGUUGGGCAGAGGCCCAAUAAAUGAACAAAUGUACAUACACUCAGGAAGGUAGUACAAGAUACUCCAUACAACACAACCAUGUGCUAUUUAUCAUGGCAUUUCUUAAAAGGGUGAGCAACAGAACAAAAGGCAGAAAAGGCAUACCUAAGGACUAAUUUAAACACAUAUCAAUGUGAAGGACUAAUUUAAAUUACUAUCAUUUAUGAUUGCAGUAAUAAAGUGAUAAGCAUUCAAGCAACUCUGUAUUUUCCCCAUAUUAUUUUAAAUGUCCAUUUUCAUUUAUAGGCCAAAUCCUGCCAGGAAAGUAACCAGAUCUCUGGAUUUCACUGUUAAGUCAUUUCAGAU